UUCCAGACUCCUACGGGAGGCAGCAGUGGGGGAUAUUGCACAAUGGGGGGAACCCUGAUGCAGCGACGCCGCGUGAACGAAGAAAUAUUUCGGUAUGUAAAGUUCUAUCAGCAGGGAAGAAAAUGACAGUACCUGACCAAGAAGCCCCGGCUAACUACGUGCCAGCAGCCGCGGUAAUACGUAGGGGGCAAGCGUUAUCCGGAUUUACUGGGUGUAAAGGGGGCGCAGACGGCAGCGCAAGCCAGGAGUGAAAGCCCGGGGCCCAACCCCGGGACUGCUCUUGGAACUGCGCGGCUGGAGUGCAGGAGGGGCAGGCGGAAUUCCUGGUGUAGCGGUGAAAUGCGUAGAUAUCAGGAGGAACACCGGCGGCGAAGGCGGCCUGCUGGACCGUAACUGACGUUGAGGCUCGAAAGCGUGGGGAGCAAACAGGAUUAGAUACCCUCGUA
rnacentral:rRNA from 1 species